AAGCGUUGUUCGGAUUUACUGGGCGUAAAGGGAGCGCAGGCGGCUUGGUCAGUCUAAAGUGAAAUCCCGGGGCUCAACCCCGGAAGUGCUUUGGAUACUGCCAGGCUUGAGUACGUGAGAGGUGAGCGGAAUUCCAGGUGUAGCGGUGAAAUGCGUAGAUAUCUGGAGGAACAUCGGUGGCGAAAGCGGCUCACUGGCACGAAACUGACGCUGAGGCUCGAAAGCGUGGGGAGCGAACGGGAUUAGAUACCCCGGUAGUCCACGCCGUAAACGUUGUGCACUAGGUGUAGGGGGUAUCGACCCCUCCUGUGCCGGAGUUAACGCAUUAAGUGCACCGCCUGGGGAGUACGAUCGCAAGAUUGAAACUCAAAGGAAUUGACGGGGGCCCGCACAAGCGGUGGAGCAUGUGGUUUAAUUCGAGGCAACGCGAAGAACCUUACCCAGGCUUGACAUCCCGGGACAACCCCAUGAAAGUGGGGCUUUCUCUUCGGAGACCCGGUGACAGGUGUUGCAUGGCUGUCGUCAGCUCGUGUCGUGAGAUGUUGGGUUAAGUCCCGCAACGAGCGCAACCCCUAUCCUUAGUUACCAUCAUUUAGUUGGGCACUCUAGGGAGACUGCCGGUGAUAAACCGGAGGAAGGUGGGGACGAGGUCAAGUCAUCACGGCCCUUAUGCCUGGGGCUACACACGUGCUACAAUGGCCGGUACAAUGGGUCGCGACCCCGCGAGGGUGAGCCAAUCUCAAAAAGCCGGUCUCAGUUCGGAUUGGAGUCUGCAACUCGACUCCAUGAAGUUGGAAUCGCUAGUAAUCGCGUAUCAGCUACGACGCGGUGAAUACGUUCCCGGG
rnacentral:rRNA from 1 species